ACGGCAUAGAUCAAAGAUGGGAUUUCUGAACAGCCACUUAACUCUAUGACGUGGGUAAAAGAAAGGGGUUAUUGCAAAGUAGAGUUAAGUGGCUGUUAAGAAAACCCACCUUUGAUGUAUACCGUCCA